CCUACGGGCGGCAGCAGUGAGGAAUAUUGGUCAAUGGCCGAGAGCCUGAACCAGCCAAGUCGCGUGAAGGAAGACGGCCCUACGGGUUGUAAACCUCUUUUGUAAAGGAACAAAGCGAGUCACGUGUGCCUCUUUGUAUGUACCCUAUGAAAAAGGAUCGGCUAACUCCGUGCCAGCAGCCGCGGUAAUACGGAGGAUCCGAGCGUUAUCCGGAUUUAUUGGGUUUAAAGGGAGCGUAGGCGGGUUGAUAAGUUAGUGGUGAAAGCCUGAGGCUAAACGUCGAAAUUGCAUUUGAUACUGGUCGGCUUGAGAAUAGUUGAGGUAGGCGGAAUGUGUGGUGUAGCGGUGAAAUGCUUAGAGAUCAUGAAGAACACCGAUUGCGAAGGCAGCUUACUAAGCUACUUCUGACGUUGAUGCACGAAAGUGUGGGGAGCAAACAGGAUUAGAUACCCGGGUAGUC
rnacentral:rRNA from 1 species